rnacentral:lncRNA from 1 species
AGAGCCCAGCAGCCUCACCCCACAGUCCUGGCUGCAGCUCUCCUGCCUGAGCCCCUGCCAGCCUUUCCUCCCCGAGCUGGCAGUCCCAGGUGUGCGUGGCAAUGCUUGGUAAAGGUGUAUAAAAAGUCUCUACUCAGAAAAAUGACUGUCACUUGUUUUUAUUCCUUCUUUUUGAAUAAAAAUAAUAAGGAAUAAAAGCGGGGCCCUGCUUUUCCCCUUCCAUCCCAGCCAGAGUUAAUUGUGCCCAAGUCUGGCUGCUCUGUGCAGUUUCUGUCCCUGCUGUUUGUCCAGAGGUCCCAGCAAAAGCUGUCACAGGUGGCCCCUGCUCCGUGGGUGUUCAGAGCUGGGACACUGCUCUGCCCAGGGCUCACCCACUGCUCGCCCGUCCUCCUGCACUGCUGACCUGGGACUGAGGGACAGCAGGGACAGCAGGGACAGGCAGGGACAGGCAGGGACAGGCAGGGACAGGCAGGGACAGGCAGGGGACAGGCGGAACAGGCAGGGACAGGCAGGGACAGGCAGGGACAGACAGGGACAGACAGGGACAGCAGGGACAGGCAGGGACAGGCAGGGCCAGGCAGCUCUGCAGUGACCCCCCAGGCCCAGGGCUGCUUCCUGUGCUGCUCCAGCACAUCCCCGAGCAGGAAUUCUGAGGCUACUCAAAGCCGUGCUGAAAUAAUGACAGGUCAGGCAAUAACUGGAGAGAAAAACCAGCCAGAGUUCUCAGUCAGAAAUCUUCCUCGAGCUCUGGCCAUGCAGGAGAGGCACAGGGCUGUCCCUGGCACCCGGCCUGUCCCAGCUGUGCCACAGCAGCCCCCCGUGCCCCGUCCUGGACACUCUGUGGACUUUGCUGUGUCCCCAGACCUGCUGUGCCAGGGGACUCCUCGUUCCCCACGGUGACCUGAGCAUUGUCCUGCCCUGGCUCUGCCACACUUGCAGCUCCUGUUUCCCUCUGCAGCUGGAGGCCCUGCACUGGCACCAUCAGCCAAAAGCCGUGUUGUUUUCCCCGUCUUUGCCAAAAGGUGAGUUCAGGGAUGCCAGGGAUGCCGAGCAAGUCCGAGUGUGAACGGGCUGAGGUCAGGCGGGUGCCCGAGGCAGGCAGGGCUGUGAGGACAGAUCCAGGGAGAGCAGCAGCUGCUGGUGAGGAUUGUGCUCAGGAAUGGAAAAAUUCAGCAGAUUUCUGUAAGCGCCAAGCCGGGUUGUUAACCGCGGUGUGAGCACAAGGCACAGCGAGAUCCCGGGGCUGUGCUAGGAGGGAUUUGUGUAACUCGC